GAUGAACGCUGGCGGCGUGCCUAAUACAUGCAAGUCGAGCGAACGGACGAGAAGCUUGCUUCUCUGAUGUUAGCGGCGGACGGGUGAGUAACACGUGGAUAACCUACCUAUAAGACUGGGAUAACUUCGGGAAACCGGAGCUAAUACCGGAUGAUAUUUUGAACCGCAUGGUUCAAAAGUGAAAGACGGUCUUGCUGUCACUUAUAGAUGGAUCCGCGCUGCAUUAGCUAGUUGGUAAGGUGACGGCUUACCAAGGCAACGAUGCAUAGCCGACCUGAGAGGGUGAUCGGCCACACUGGAACUGAGACACGGUCCAGACUCCUACGGGAGGCAGCAGUAGGGAAUCUUCCGCAAUGGGCGAAAGCCUGACGGAGCAACGCCGCGUGAGUGAUGAAGGUCUUCGGAUCGUAAAACUCUGUUAUUAGGGAAGAACAUAUGUGUAAGUAACUGUGCACAUCUUGACGGGACCUAAUCAGAAAGCCACGGCUAACUACGU
rnacentral:rRNA from 1 species